rnacentral:lncRNA from 1 species
AUGACCUCAACACUUGCAGAGUUCUGCAGCCCAUGCCUGGGGCCAGAACAGCAGCUGACCUCUGCUGGGCCCAGCAGCUUACAAACAAAGCCCCUGACAGUAGCAACUCCAGCGCUGCUCCAACGGGUGUUUGUUAUUGAAACAGAAUCCUCUGCAGCACUCAGAGUUCACCUGUCAAACAAGCAGCUGAAAGAGGGAGAAGCAUCUUCGUCGUAUGCACUGGGCAUCCGCAGCACCUCAGGUAGGCACCAGGUGGGUCCCCGAGCUGUGAGUCCAGCGUGGCCUGCGUGUGGGAAGCAGGAGGCCCUCACACCUCUGCAACCCAGGACUUGGCUGCUUCGCCUGCCUCAAGGAGGUGGCACAGCUCUGCCACGCUCUGUCCAGCUUACCACUUCUCUAUUUCUAAUUUUGCGUCCCGGAAAACACAAAGGGCUCUCAAGAUAUUUUCUGCCAGAGCAUUCUGACUUCACAGUUCUCACUCUCUUCUUGUAUCUCUACCUCCACGUAUUUUCAGUGAUGCAGUUCCUCACUUUCAAAGGGCCUCUCCUCACGGGCACUGGCCACUUCAUUAGGACACAUCAUGUUUUUCAAGAGCUGCUCCAAAGCUCACCAGACCUGGACACUGCACACACUGAGUCACUAGAGGUGGCUGGUGGCAACCCUGUGCAUACGAGGGGCUCUCUCCGCUGGUGA